ACACGGGAUCCGAGCCAUGUCUGCAACCUAUAUAUACCACAGCUCACAGCAACAUCGGAUCCUUAACCCACUGAGCGAGGCCAGGGAUCGAACUCUCAACCUCAUGGAUCCUAGUCAUGUUCGUUAACCACUGAGGCAUGAAGGGAACUCCCUAAAUUCAUUUCUUAAGAAAGGCAUUACUAGUGGCACGUGCUGAAAAGGAUGUAGAGCAACUGGAACUCUCAUUUACUUAUGGUAGAGGUACACUUGGGAAAAUCAUUGAGCAGUUUCUGCUAAAGCUAGACUGCACAUACGCUAUGACUCAGAAAUUCUACCCCAACAUUAAGGUACACAUAUACCCACCAAAAACAUGUAACAAAAUGUUACCUUUAUGCAUAACAAAUAAAAAUGGAAACUCAAAUGUUGGUCAACAGUAGAAUAAAUUGUGGUGUUCAUACAAUAAACUACUACAUGCCAAAAAAAAAAUGUAUUGCUACAUACCACACAACACAACAGAUGAAUUUCAUGAAUGUAACAUUGAGUGAAGGAAGUCAGACACCAAAGAACACAGACUGUGUGAUACAUCUUACCUAAAGUUCAAAACCAGGCAAAACGAAUUUAUGGCAUCAGAAGCCAGAAGAGUGACCUCUCUUGGUAUAAUAAUGACUGGAAAGGGGACACAAGGCAGAAGAGGGCUUGGUGACAUUUUGUUUCAUGACCUGGGUAUUUGGUUAUAUGGGUUAUGUGGAGGUCACCCUUUGUGAAAAUGCAUCAAGUGAAAACUUAGGAUUUGUGCACUUUUGUGUAUCUCUACGUUAUAUUUCAAUAAAAUUUAUAUAACAAAACAGAACAGUCUCUUGUACAAAGACUAAAAAAGUAGACUAUGGUUUGGAGAGGUGCUUUGCUAAUUCUGCCAGUUUUCUGAGUAAGAACAUUAGAAGCAAGGUCAGCAGAUCUGUGUUCCAUCAAAGCAUUUGAACAAAUCACUGUUCCUCUCCUGCCUUCAUUUUCAUCUUUUGAAAGAGAGAGAGGCUGUCACUAGAGGGGUCCCCAAGAUUUCUCUUGGCCCUAAUGAAAGCAGAGUGACCUUAGAACUGGCACCCUUUACCACCAAACGUGUCGCUUGCCUAGACUGGAUAACGGGAGAUCCCAGUUUCUACAGUUUCUUCUUCCUCAAAUAGCUUCUUGGGCAGUCUGAUGGAAAACUACAGUAGAAUAGAUCUGGAGAAAAGGAUUUUUUCUCUGGUAGCCUGUAUCCUGUCAAUGUUGGGUUUCAUUAAGCAAUAAUUGUCUAAAGAGAAUUUAUCCUUAAUCCUAAUAGAAGUGAGAAGGGUUAAAGCAAGAAUUAGAGUUGAAGCUAUCAACCUAAAGGCCUUAGUAGGUUGUUCUGAGUGGGGGUCAUGCUCUUGAAGCUGCCAAAGGCAACAUUUGGAGUUUUGAUUGCCUGCUUCAUCUGACCUCCCAGUAAACUGGGGUUAUCAACCUUCCCUUGGCAACUAAAUCUAAUGAGAAGGUCUGAAGCGAAAUCAAAUGCAGAUAGUUUAAAUGAUGUUUUAUUUAUUAUGCUAACCAUAGCCUUCACUGGGCCAAAAGCUUUCCUAAACUGGGAUCACUGCUUGGGAACUGCAUGUCCCCAGGCCCUGCGUGGGAGAGGAGAGAGGCCUGGUUCAUCAGAUCUCUUACCCAGCCCUUCUUCUCUUACCUUGAGACAACCUAGAAAAGUUAUUAGGAUGGAAAAUGUUUUGCUGAGAUUUUUUUUUUGCGUAUCAUUUCCGAGAAAUUUUCCAAAAUAGCAAAGGGAUGCUGACUUCCCACUAGGACUCAAUAGAGUGUAGCAAAUCAAACAAUUUUCCAAAAGGCAUUUUCCUACCACUCAUCCGACCACAUUUCCCACCCCACAGAGAAGCAUUGUGGCUGCAAGCGGAAUUAGAGCUGAGAUUCUCAGAUUGAAGUAGGUACAUUUUCACAUCUGGGAGGGAGAAAGGAGCAGAGCAAAAUCUCAGUCCUAUAGAUUUUUGAGUGGGGCAGGGGUAGAUGACAAAGAAGGACAGAAGUGUAAUCAGGAAAGAAACAAAUCCACUUACUUCCUGUAACUGAGCAGAGGUGGAGUGGAGAUGCCGGUGCCCUGAAGAACGCGGGGAGCCACUUCUUGGGCAACCCGGAGAAGAGUUUCAGAUUCGACUCCCAGUGAUCCGCGGGUCUCGUCUAAUCAGGGAAACGUUAUUUUUCAUCAUUCCUUGCUGAGCUGUGACACAUGAAAAUAAUUACUGAGGUUAGGGAUGGAAAAUAUUUAUUAGGUCAGCUCGACCAUCCUUUCCACUAUGUAGGCCGGCUCCCCGCUGGGCCUGGAAGACAGAGCUAUGACAACAACCUGGCUUGUCCCUGUCUCCCAGCACCUGAAAAGCAGGUUACUAGUCCCUUCUUGAUCUUUGCUGGGACUAUGAAUGCUAAGGAGGAGAGAAAAGAAGACAGCAAGAUGUACAACAGCAACAGAAAGCCUUGUGUCCCAGCCACUGACCAACUAUUAAAAUGGGGAGCCAUCGGGUUUUCUUCAAAAGGUGGAGAUCCAACCCCUCCUUGAAGACUCCACGGCUGUUUAUUCAUGACAGAUGCGCGAGGCCACAUUUAAGGUUGGGAAGUUUUCUUCUUGUGGGUUGCAUCCUGUGCUCAACGCUUUUCUUGGGUAAGGCCUGGCUCUUCAGAGCUGAAGCUCAGCAGAUCCUGGCGAGGGGCCUGCAUGCCCCACUGGUUGUUACUGAGCCAAGGAGGAGAGGCCGGUCCCCUCUUGCCCUGCCCCGUGCUUGCCCUGCCCCGUCAUGGCGCUCCCCCUGAACCUUCUUCUUUUCUGCUGCUUUUCUUCUGCAUGACUUCCAGCUCGCUAACAUUGACCCUGUCCUAAAGAGAGCCGGGUAGCACUUGGCAGCCUCAAGAUGGUCUCCUCAGAGCCAUAGAGACAGGGCUACCCCCGGUGCUAGGCCCCCCAGAUAAACGGCCUUCCUUAACCCCCCACCAGCUGCAGUCUGUGCGCCCUUGUUUCAGGCGGAAGUUGAGGGCUGGUUCUCUACAGGACUCAGCGCACAGAGGCACUUAAUAUGUGUAAAACAGUGCUCUCUGCCGCAACCGCCUCCCUCUAUGCGACCCGGGAGUGUGAGGGCCAAGGGGGCUUCCAUCCCCUCAGAAUCACCUCCCACACCGACCAUAGCUCAAAGGCCCCACACAGAAUAGGUCUCAGAAAAUAGCCCAGAAGAAUUGAUUCAAAUUCCUAUCCAAGCCCCAGAACAUCUAAAGGGGAAAAAUGGGGCAAAACUUGCUAUAAAAUCAAGGAAGUGACUGAGGAAAAGGGUAUAAUGAUUGAAGAUAUUCACAUUGAGGCUAGGGUUGCUUGUACAGGUGGUGUAGGGUGGGAAUAAGCAUACACGGAAAGACAAAUGAUCCAUACAGUCUGCUUGUCCACAUACAAGAAGGGCCUAUACGGGAUGUUUUUAAGGUAACUGAAAACCGUCCACAAUUCUCCCGGGCAAUUUCCUAGGUCUGUGGAGAGGGAGAUCUUUUACUAGCAUUAGAUAGGGCCCUAAUAUUACCACAAGCUGUUUAUAUUCUUCACGUCUGCCAGGCAGGAGCAGUGAUAAUUGAGCCCUCAGCUCUGCACUGAGACGCUGUGUUUAGUGGUGAGUGGGGUUUUACGACAGAGUUUCUCACAGAUCUUUGAAUAUGCUGAAUUUUAAUUAAGUCUAAGUCGUGUCACUGGCCGCCUCACUCUGUCCACAUCCGCUGCCGAAACACCGUUCACCCCAAAGCCUUAAAGUCCUGCCCACGCUUCAGCCAGGAACCGAGCAUCGUGUGAGGGAAUGUCCUCCCCACAGGGAACGGAGGCCCCGGUGUUUAAGGCUGGGUCGACCUUGACUAAAAUGACUCAUCAGUUCAAGUUUUAAAAAAGGAGGGGGGGUCUCCUCAGUUAUUUUUUAAAAAUCCAACUUGUUACUUUCACUCGUUAACUGGAUGCUGUGGAGGCAUCGCUCCUGAAUGAUUAUUAGAGGGUAUUAUGAUUGCCUAGGGACCUGGAAAAAACGUAAAUAUGGA
rnacentral:lncRNA from 1 species